UAUUACACGACUGCCCAAACAAAAAGAGUGUAUUGUGGUCAGCGUACAAAAUGUAGGGUACCUUUCAAUUCGCUUUAAAAUGCAGCAGUCGUGUUUUUAAUUUUUUAAUUUUAUUAUUUUUUUACCAAUUACAAACAAAAUGAUAAUAAAAACAACAUUAAAAUUAAAACUAAAAUUUAACACAUCUUAAAUUAACUUAUAGGUAAACUAAGUUCAUUCUGUGUGCGUUCACUCAGAAAUGCGUGGUUAAAAUUAUUCGUUUUCCUCAUGUUACGCCGUGUAUACAUAUUUCAUAUGUUAUUUUACCUCUUCAUCAUUAUAACACGUUUAUUUUUUAAUAUUGAAUAUUGAAAAACCGUUCUGAAUAAGUUGUCUUCAUGGAACGGAAUAACUGCCUAAACGCCUGUCAAAGAAGAGGCGUUUUUCUUAAUGCAAGCAUUUUUUAAGUUUCCAAAGGCAACAUUCCAUAUUGUUUUUAUAAAUAUACGAUACACAAAUAAUCGUAAAUAACGAUACUUUGGUAAUAAUAAUACAAUAUUAUAUAUUUACAAUUGUUUAUGUCUUAUAGAACAUGCAU